rnacentral:lncRNA from 1 species
UGAAAACACAGGAUUAGCACCUUUUUGGAUGUUAAUUUCUGGUUAUAACCUUAAACGAUCAAGCCAUAACUUGAGGGGCUGGUUGGAUUACUUGUUGCAUUCAUGUACAUAGUAAGACAAAACACUCAGUACAAUCUGGUACAUUCUAGUGGUUAAUGAAUUUUAAAAUAUGACAGUGUUUCUGCAGUGUUUGGCCUUUAGGAGUCACUCUUCUUUUUGCUCUUCUUCAGGAAGGAAGGAGUGCGAAACUUCUUUUUCUUUUUUGAUGGGGACUUUCCUGGAGAUUCAUCACUACCUGCAUCAGCUGCCGUCCCCUCCUCAGCUGUUGGAGUCGCUGCCUCUUCAGCAGGCUGAGGCUGGGGUUCCUUAUCUGCUGCCGCAGGUGAUUCCGUUUGGCUUUUGGACACAUCUUCAUCGCAUCUCCCUUCCUCCUUUCCUAAGGGAGGGAAGCUGAGUGCUUCUGAAGGCUCAUCAGGGGUGAGAUCUGGGAGGGUUUGCUUCAAAGUUGCAGCAUCACUGUCAUCUCUGUAGGUCUGGUCCUGCUGUGUCUCUUCCUCUGCUUUCAUGGGCGUGCUCGGGGGAGUGCACGCUGAGGUGUGCUCAGGGGGACUUCUCUCUUUCUGUUGUCUGCCGUCUUCUGAAGGCUCUUCUGACCCCUUCUGCUUCCUUUCUACUUCUUUGCGAUAUUCCUCCAGCUCUCGAUCAGUGAGUUUGUUGAAGGGAUUUGGUCCUGUUGUGCUCACUAUCACUUUGGGCUGAUACUCCUUCUCGAUUAUUGCCUUUGAAGCAGUCACCAGUUCUCCCUGUACAAGACUCCUGUCCACAACUACACCAGAAAGAACCUGUGACUGAGGGCCUGCGGUUUUAAUAUCUUGUAAAUUUUGCUCUCGGAUCUUGUUCCUCAUUUCUUGGACCUCCUUUGGAUUAGUGUUCAAUGGAACAAACAGGUUAGGGACAGCAGAGGUGGCAGUUCUAUGUCCAUCCUCUUUAGUCCACAAGCAGUUGGUAAUACAGCUUGGCACGCAGACACCGGACGAGAGAGACUGCAGCAAGGGUUUCAC